CAAGUCGAACGAGAAUCUGGAGGUUCAAGUUUCGGACAAGAACUUUCGGAGGAAAGUGGCGGAAGGGUGAGUACAACAUGGAUAAUCUACCUUCAAGUUGGGUAUAGCUUCCCGAAAGGGGAGAUAAUCCCGAAUGUGGUGAUCCGGCGCCUGUCGGAGAAUCCAAAGGUGGGGACCGCAAGGCCUGCCGCUUGAAGAUGAGUCCGUGCACUAUCAGCUAGUUGGUGAGGUAAUGGCUCACCAAGGCGAUGACGGUUAGCUGGUCUGAGAGGAUGGUCAGCCACACUGGGACUGAGAUACUGCCCAGACUCCUACGGGAGGCUGCAGUCGAGAAUCAUUCGCAAUGGGCGCAAGCCUGACGGUGCGACGUCGCGUGGAGGAUGAAGGUCUUCGGAUUGUAAACUCCUGUCAUGUGGGAUAAAUGGCCAGGGCAUGAAUAGUGCCUUGGAAUGAUAGUACCACAGGAGGAAGGGACGGCUAACUCUGUG
rnacentral:rRNA from 1 species